UAUAUAUAUAUAUAUAUAUAUAUAUAUAUAUAUUCUUUUUUUUAUUAUUAUUAAACACAAAAUAAAGAACUACUGCAAGAUUCUUAUUAUACCAGAAUGUACAAAAAUUGCCAAAAAUGAAGAUACAAGAGUUUGGCUUAUUAUUUCUUCCCUUUUAUUUUUCACAUUAUAUGUGUAUAUACAGCUCUGAAUAAAAAUAAGAGAGCACUUAAAAAUGAUGAGUUUCUUUGAUUUUACCAAAUUAAAAACCUCUGGAAUAUAAUCAAGAGGAAGAUGGAUGAUCACAAACCAUCAAACCACCAAACUGAACUGCUUGAAUUUUUGCACCAGGAGUAAAGCAGCAUAAAGUUAUCCAAAAGCAGUGUGUAAGACUGGUGGAGGAGGAGAACAUGAUGCCAAGAUGCAUGAAAAAAACUGUGAUUAAAAACCACCAGGGUUAUUCCACCAAAUAUUGAUUUCUGAACUCUUAAAACUUUAUGAAUAUGAACUUGUUUUCUUUGCAUUAUUUGAGGUCUGAAAGCUCUGCAUCUUUUUUUGUAUUUUUUUUUUUUUUUUUUUGGAAUUUGGGAGAAAUGUUGUCUGUAGUUUAUAGAAUAAAACAACAAUGUUCAUUUUACUCAAACAUAAAUCUAUAAAUAGUAAAAUCAGAGAAACUGAUUCAGAAACUGAAGUGCUCUCUUAAUUUUUUUUCAGAGCUGUAUAAGAACUACUGCAAGAUUGACAUUAUGCCAGAAUGUACAAAAAAUGGCAAAAAUGAGGAUACAAGAGCAACACAUUGGGGCUAAUUUGUAUUUAAUAUUAUGGUCUGUUCUAUUUCUAUUCGACCGAUCCACAAAGAAGUGAUUUAAAUGUGUUUUUUUAUUAUUAUUACUAUUUUUUCUUCCCUUUAAUUUUUUUGUUGUUUACAUUAUGUGUGUAUAUAUAUGUAAUAUGUGUGCCUGCGAUAUCCCUGCACUGCUGUGUGUAUUUAGGUCUGUUUAUCCCGUUUGUUUGUUUCUUUCUUUGAUUGUUUGAUGGUUUGUUUGAUGGUUUGUUGGGCUGUAAGUGGGUGUAGAGGGUUGAGAUGUUGCACUAGCUGCUGAGCUCAGGCUCACAGAGAAUGUGGAUAAGAUGAUUGUUGAGCUCUGUUAGCUCUGUUAGCUUUGUUAGCUCUGUUAGCGGUAGCGCCACCCUGUCUGAAGCUAAUGCGGGUCAGGCUAAUGUGUGUGUGUGUGUGUGUGUGUUAGGGUUGUCGAUGCUACUCCCUGUAUCAGACCUGUAUGGUCUCUAAAUAUUUUGGCACUAAUGAGGGGUGUGAUUACUUUCGCACAGCCUGGUUGUCGUGGUUCAGUGGGGGGGCGUGGUUCGUGUGAUUGGUUUGAGGAGUGUUAGGGGAUAAACCCUACAGGAUGCAGUUUCAGUCUGUGUCCAGCGGGAGGCGCUUUCCUCACAUUCAUCAUUGGUUUGGGCUGAGGGUCUUGCAGCUAUGCAACAAUUUCAGAUUAAAAUACGUUAAAUUUUACACUUCUAACUAUUUUAGAAGGUGAAAAUUUUAAAAUUGGCUUUGUCACAAUCGAUUUUACCGUGUUAGAAUUCAUUUCACAACGCUUGAAUUGGUUUUAGCAUGUUAAUAUUGAUUUUAUAAUGGUAGGAUUCAUAGCAGAGGGUUAAAAUCAAUUUUAACCUGUUUAAAGGGAUUUAAGCAUGGGCCUAUGGAUUUCAAAAUGUCAGGAUUUUAGUUUUUAAAAAUCUUUUUUUUUCUAAAAAGAAGUAAAAUAAACACUUUAUGUUAAAAUUGAUUUAGCAGGUUAGACACGAGUUUGCAUUUGGUUUUAGCAUGUUAGAAAUAAUUUUAAAAUACUCUAAUAAAACUCUUAUCAAUAUCAAAUCUUCUAAUUGAUUAUAGUAUAACAAACAUUUUUGGAAUUGGUUUCAGAAUGCUGUAAUUGAUUUUAAACCGCUUGGAUAGAUUUUUGAAUGGAUCGAAUGUUAGAAUCAAUUUUAACAUAAAUAUUUUAGGAUUAAUUUUAGAAUGCUAGGACUGAUUUUGGACUGAUAGGUUUGAUUUUAGAAUAUUAGUACAGAUUUCUGAAUGGUAGAAUUGGCAUGAUAUUUUAUUUGCUUCUAUUUUAGAACUGAUUUUAGAAUGUUGCAGUCGAUUUUAGCAUGCUAGAAUCAAUUCUGUCAUAUUAGGAACUCUUUUAGAAUUCAUUUCUGAAUGUUUAAGGAUAAAGUUUCAGGUGUAGAAUGUUAGAUUCAGCUUUAUACCAAUUAGAUUUUCUCACUUUGAAUGUUGUAACUAAUUUAAAAAGUGUACUUUUAUAAAAAUGACUGAAAUCAUGCACUACUUGUACUGUUUACAAUUUGCUUAAUCCAUUUUAGUAUUCCUCUUUUGUUCUCUUUUCUUUGUUUUCUCUUAUUUUCAGACUGACUUAAGCAUCAUACAUUCAUACAAAUGAAGAAUUGAAUCAAAUUAAAUGUUAAUUUUUGAUUAAUCACUGUUAGUUAAUUCAUGGUUGUUUUAAAAUUAGCUGAAGUGAACGCAGCUUUCUGGACGUUCACAGGCCCCUCAGCAUAAACCAAUAUGAAUCCAGGAGGACUGGGUUCAGUACCGGGUGCAGGGUACUUGGCGGGGUACUAUGCGGGGUACUGGGACGCGUGUGUUGUGUGAUUUGUCCGUGGAAAAUGAUGUCAGCACUUUAGUGACCUCACCGUUUUUUGGGUGCAGGUUGGCGAAAUCUACCUGUGAGGUAACAGACGGGCAAACCUUCCAGGCCAUGUGCUCCAGCGCAGACAAUCAGAGGAGGAACGUGCACUAAUGUUCUAGCAGAAGUAUUAGCAUUGUUAGCUAGCUAGCUAAGCCACUGCAAACUUUCCAGCUUGGCUUGAUUUCUGCGUGCCUGAGCUAAUGCGGGUUUAAGAAGCGUCUACUGGGGUCAUUUUUUUGGCUGAAUGGGGAAUCAGUUGUCUGAAGUUAGUCUCCAGUAUCGCUUAACGACUAGCUUUCGGUACCGACCGCUAGUGCUAACGUACUCUUGCAAAAAUCCAGUGGCGGUAUAUAAGCAUGGACGCCUUGGCGCCUUUUCGGACUCGGAACGUAUUAAUUUGGUAGCCUUGCCCCUUUCUCCCAGACCAUGCCCAAGCAUACUGUAGUCUCAGACUGCCUUCAUUGAGUUUACAAAACACACAAGCGGAGGAGGAACGUGCACUAACGUUCUAGUAGAAGUAUUAGCAUUGUUAGCUAGCUAGCUAAGCCAUUGCAAACCUUCUAGCUUGGCUUGAUUUCUGCGUGCCUGAGCUGAUGCAGGUUCUGCAAGUGUCUAUUUGGGUCGUUUCUGAAUGGGGAAUCAGUUGUUUGAAGUUAGUCUCCUGUAUCGCUUAACGACUAGCUUUCGGUACCGACCGCUAGUGCUAACGUACUGUUGCAAAAAUCCAGUGGCGGUAUAUAAGCAUGGACGCCUUGGCGCCUUUUCGGACUUGGAACGUACUCAUUUGGUAGCCAUGCCCCUUCUCACAGACCAUGCCAGUAGCUUAGCAAGCUAGCUAACUAACUUAGCUAGCUAGCUAGCUAAGCUACUGCAAACUUUCCUGAGCUAAUGCAGGUUCUCCAAGCAUCUAUUUUGGUCGUAUUUUGACUGAAUGCUGAACCAGUUGUUUGAAGUUAAGCUCUUGUAUCGAUUUAUAACUAGCUUUCGGUACUGACCGCUAGCGUUAACAUACUGUUGGAAAAUUCCAACAUACAGUAAUGUUCUUGGAGAAGUAUUAGCAUAUUAGCAUAACUUUCCGGCUUUGCUUGUUUCUACAAAGCUAAUGCAGGUUCUGCUAGUGUCUCUUUGUGCAAGUUGUUUAAAGUUAGCCUACUGUAUCCCUGUACAACCUGCUUUGGGUACCAACAGCUAAUGCUAACGUUAUGCUAAUGCUAAUGCUAUGUCCGCCAUGUUGACAAAUUUGCAACCAGAGUCUCUGCCCUUAUUCCAGACUAAUCUCAAGUGUCUCAGACCGCCUGCAUUGAGUUUACAGUGUAGCCUAAAGUACCAGAAGCAGUUUAUCCUUUAAGCUAACAACUUUUGGUUAGUAGAAUGUUUUCUGAACGUUACAUUUAGCGUUCUUAGAAUGUUAUUUUCUGGAUGUUUCUAGAAUCUUUUUAUUUAUUGCUUUGAACUUUCUGUAACGUCAUCGAGUUAACGACACUUCAAAGCGUCCAGUUUUUAUUUAGUUUUAACUUUUAACAUUUCCCUAAUGUUGGUAUACGUCUAGUUGGGAAUGCUAUGUGAGAAGCGGUCUAAUAACGUUUUAAUGCAAACCAUUGUUACGUCACAAGUUUUCAGAAUGUUCUUGGAACGUCAUUUCCGUAACGUUACAGGUUAACAUUUCUGGUACCUUUUCAAAAGGUUGCUAAACAUUCUUUUAACAUUUUCUAACAUUAGCUGGAUGCUCCCUAUAAUAAAGGUGAUUGGUCUGUUCUAGACAAGGCUGCCGCCUGUCAAUCACUUGAUGAUGUAGCCCCGCCUACUUGUUGCAAUAUAGAAGAAUAACACUGUUGGAAUUGUUGGAUACUGGAGAGAAAAAGACAGUUUAGAAUAGAGAAAUUUGAUGUGAGAUGGGAAAUGGGCGGGGCUUUUUUAUGUAAUUAAAACAUAUGGGAAUGGUUGGAGCUACCCGUCAUUCUGCAACCAGCCAGCAGAGGCGCUAGACUUGUGGUGGCUUUAUGUUUAAGAGACUUUUGAGAGACGUUGCGCUGUCCAUGCUUAUGUACAGUUACUGUAAAAACCUGCAAGACAAUGCUAGUCCACGGGUGUAAAACAGCUAGCUAGCGAUAUAGCCUAUAGGCUAACUAACGUUACGUUACGUUCUAGGCUAACUACCUUUAGCGGCCAGGCUUCUUUCAGUAUGGCAAUACUGUGUGAAUGAGAUAAUUCAGUACAUGUGCUUCAGAGUUUUAAAGUGUGAAACACGUAAGUCCUUUAAAAAAAAAAAACGUUGUUUACGACUUCAGACGACACUUUAGACUUUAAACGUGAAAUACCACCGACUACAUCCUGAUACGACUAAAUCAUUCACAUUUUAUCAGCCAAUCGAUUUCCUCCACCAACGACAGAUUCUGGUUUGGGUUGAAGUUGUGUAGUUCAAGUGAUUUAAUUCCUUUUCAAAUGCAAUACUGAAAAAAAAAACUGCUUUCUAAUAAAAGUCCUUAUUUCACCAAAAA